rnacentral:rRNA from 1 species
GAUGAACGCUGGCGGCGUGCCUAAUACAUGCGAGUCGAGCGAACGGACGAGAAGCUUGCUUCUCUGAUGUUAGCGGCGGACGGGUGAGUAACACGUGGAUAACCUACCUAUAAGACUGGGAUAACUUCGGGAAACCGUAGCUAAUACCGGAUAAUAUUUUGAACCGCAUGGUUCAAAAGUGAAAGACGGUCUUGCUGUCACUUAUAGAUGGAUCCGCGCUGCAUUAGCUAGUUGGUAAGGUAACGGCUUACCAAGGCAACGAUGCAUAGCCGACCUGAGAGGGUGAUCGGCCACACUGGAACUGAGACACGGUCCAGACUCCUACGGGAGGCAGCAGUAGGGAAUCUUCCGCAAUGGGCGAAAGCCUGACGGAGCAACGACGCGUGAGUGAUGAAGGUCUUCGGAUCGUAAAACUCUGUUAUUAGGGAAGAACAUAUGUGUAAGUAACUGUGCACAUCUUGACGGUACCUAAUCAGAAAGCCACGGCUAACUACGUG